UUAGCUCCACUUCCCUCCAUGAUGAUGUUAACUCUCCAUGAUGAUGUUAACUCUCUCUGUUAGCUCCACUUCCCUUCAUGAUGAUGUUAACUCUCUCUGUUAGCUCCACUUCCCUCCAUGAUGAUAACUCUCUCUUAGUUCCACUAUGCACUUGCCUCUGCUAGUAACACACUGUGUUAACAUUAGCCUAGACUGAACCACAGAAAAUAACCGUUUUAAACAGUUGUAAAAACCAACUUCUUCCAGACAGAAUAGUUCCUGUAGAUUCAGACUCAUCACCAAUCUGUUGUUAUGUUUUGUGGGUUUCAUAACCAGGUCUGUAUAACAAUUCAAUAAUGAUGAGACGGGAGACAGGAAUCAGUUCAACCAUUUAUCUGGAACGUGAUCAUCUCAACACAUACAAACCCCCAUGAUGCUCUGCGGCACAACCCCAAUAUACAGCAAAUACAUCAAUAAAUAAGUAAGUGGACACAAAACAAAACUUAGAGGAUUUAAAUGUUCAGUUCUAGAAAGUAGGGCCAUGGGACAGGGUCAGAAAGGUCAUUAUAACACAGUGAAGUAGGGCCAUGGGACAGGGUCAGAAAGGUCAUUAUAACACAGUGAAGUAGGACCAUGGGACAGGGUCAGAAAGGUCAUUAUAACACAGUGAAGUAGGACCAUGGGACAGGGUCAGAAAGGUCAUUAUAACACAGUGAAGUAGGGCCAUGGGACAGGGUCAGAAAGGUCAGUUACAUCAGGUCCAUUAUAACACAGUGAAGUAGGGCCAUGGGACAGGGUCAGAAAGGUCAGUAUGUUUGAUACCUGGUUACAGAGGUGACAUAACAAGCAUAAGGUCCAUUAUAACACAGUGAAGUAGAGGUGGGAGCUAAAAGCAGACAUGGACAGUGAGACGGUGUGAGGAGGUCAGGGGUCAAACACUAGAUCAGGACAGGUAGAAAUGGCAGGGCUGGAAAUAGACAGAGACACAUUCUGAUCAUGGC